UACGGAAGGCAGCAGUGGGGAAUAUUGCACAAUGGGCGCAAGCCUGAUGCAGCCAUGCCGCGUGUAUGAAGAAGGCCUUCGGGUUGUAAAGUACUUUCAGUCGUGAGGAAGGUGUUAAGGUUAAUAACCUUAGCAAUUGACGUUAGCGACAGAAGAAGCACCGGCUAACUCCGUGCCAGCAGCCGCGGUAAUACGGAGGGUGCGAGCGUUAAUCGGAAUUACUGGGCGUAAAGGGCACGCAGGCGGUUAAUUAAGUUGGAUGUGAAAUCCCCGGGCUUAACCUGGGAAUGGCAUUCAAGACUGGUUAGCUAGAGUCUUGUAGAGGGGGUAGAAUUCCAUGUGUAGCGGUGAAAUGCGUAGAGAUGUGGAGGAAUACCGGUGGCGAAGGCGGCCCCUGGGACAAAGACUGACGCUCAUGUGCGAAAGCGUGGGGAGCAAACAGGGAUUAAAUACC
rnacentral:rRNA from 1 species